CACGUAGGGCGCAAGCGUUGUCCGGAAUUAUUGGGCGUAAAGAGCUCGUAGGCGGUCUGUUGCGUCCGCUGUGAAAACCCGGGGCUCAACUUCGGGCUUGCGGUCGAUACGGGCGGGCUAGAGGCAUGCAGGGGAGAACGGAAUUCCUGGUGUAGCGGUGAAAUGCGCAGAUAUCAGGAGGAACACCGGUGGCGAAGGCGGUUCUCUGGACAGUUCCUGACGCUGAGGCACGAAGGUCAGGGGAGCAAACGGG
rnacentral:rRNA from 1 species